UUGAUGAUGAAAACAAUGCUCAUGAACGUGAUUCUGAGCCUGACUCAGUGAUGGGUCUUGACUCAGUUAUCAAAAGCUUUGAAGAAGAGAUUUUUGCACCUGGGACUGAACCAGGUCUGACUGAACCGGAACCGGUUCAGGUCGACCUGGUUCAAAUGACCGGUUCAGGUGAGAUGGAGAUGAACUUAGGUUACUUGUUUGAGGCUUCUGAUGAUGAACUUGGGUUGCCACCAACUGUGACUGAACCGGGUUUAAAUGAACCGGGUUCGGAUGAACCGGACAAGGUGGACUUGACCGGUUUUGUUGGGUUUGAUGAUGAUUUUACCGGUUUUGAUGGGUUUGGUUAUGGAACUGGGUUGUUGUCGGAGAGUGACGGUGGUGCUGAAGAUUUUGUGACUGGGGAUGGGUUGUUUGAAUAU
rnacentral:lncRNA from 1 species